rnacentral:sRNA from 1 species
AUCCUUUUUUUUGUGUUGUU